GCUUGUCGAAGUCUUUUUUUUUGCCCCAGCCGAUAGGUCUCUAGAUGUUACAGAGAACCCCGAAUAACCCAAACUGUUAAUCUUCAAUACCCCUUUGUACUUACGAUCUUGUAUCCACUGACCGUCCUGUUAGAUUAACCCAAUAAAUUUCAUUCACUCCGCAUACUCAAUCCUAUAGACACCCCUUUAAUCCUUCAAUCACAGACGUAACUCGAUUUUACAAAACAGUCAAGAGUAUUCAAACCCACUUCAUUUAAAAAUCCCGAUUCACCAUUACAACACUGACUUCAGCAGCGAUUGCCUCAGUCUUCCCAAAACUCUAUGAAG
rnacentral:lncRNA from 1 species